UACGAAGGGGGCUAGCGUUGUUCGUAAUUACUGGGCGUAAAGGACGCGUAGGCGGCCCUGUCAGUCAAGCGUGAAAGCCCCGGGCUCAACCUGGGAAUUGCGCCUGAUACUGCAGGGCUUGAGGGUCGGAUAGGAUGGUGGAAGUCCCAGUGUAGAGGUGAAAUUCGUAGAUAUUGGGAAGAACACCGGUCGCGAAGGCGGCCAUCUAGCCGACAUCUGACGCUGAGGCGCGAAAGCGUGGGGAGCAAACAGG
rnacentral:rRNA from 1 species